rnacentral:rRNA from 1 species
GAUGAACGCUAGCUACAGGCUUAACACAUGCAAGUCGAGGGGUAACGAGAGGGAAGCUUGCUUUCCUUGUCGACGACCGGCGCACGGGUGAGUAACGCGUAUCCAACCUGCCCCCAACUAAGGAAUAACCUUGCGAAAGUAAGACUAAUACCCUAUAAUUUCCUCAGAUGACAUCUGACGAGGAAUAAAGAUUUAUCGGUUGUGGAUGGGGAUGCGUCUGAUUAGCUUGUUGGCGGGGUAACGGCCCACCAAGGCAACGAUCAGUAGGGGUUCUGAGAGGAAGGUCCCCCACAUUGGGACUGAGACACGGUCCAAACUCCUACGGGAGGCAGCAGUGAGGAAUAUUGGUCAAUGGGCGUAAGCCUGAACCAGCCAAGUAGCGUGCAAGAUGACGGCCCUAUGGGUUGUAAACUGCUUUUAUACAGGAAUAAAGUUAGCCACGUGUGGUUAUUUGUAGGUACUGUAUGAAUAAGGACCGGCUAAUUCCGUGCCAGCAGCCGCAGUAA